rnacentral:tRNA from 1 species
GCCUAGUUAGCUUGGUUGGUAGCGCGUCUGCCUUGUAAGCGCUAGGCUGCGGGUUCGAUUCCCGCCCGGGGCG